rnacentral:tRNA from 1 species
GGGGGUAUAGCUCAGUGGUAAAGCAUUUGACUGCAGAUCAAGAGGUCUCCAGUUCAGCUCUGGAUGCCCCCU